rnacentral:rRNA from 1 species
UAAUAUAUGAAGGCUGCUCGCGGCUGGAGUAUUUAUUACCCUUGUCUUUUGCGCACUUGUUGUUUCCUGGGCGGGCUCGCCCGCCACCAGGACCACAUACAAACCUUUUUUAUGUAGUUGCAAUCAGCGUCAGUAUAACAAAUGUAAAUCAUUUACAACUUUCAACAACGGAUCUCUUGGUUCUGGCAUCGAUGAAGAACGCAGCGAAAUGCGAUACGUAGUGUGAAUUGCAGAAUUCAGUGAAUCAUCGAAUCUUUGAACGCACAUUGCGCCCUUUGGUAUUCCAAAGGGCAUGCCUGUUCGAGCGUCAUUUGUACCCUCAAGCUUUGCUUGGUGUUGGGCGUUUUUUUGUCUUUGGCCUGCCCAAAGACUCGCCUCAAAACGAUUGGCAGCCGGCCUCCUGGUUUCGCAGCGCAGCACAUUCUUGCGCUUGCAAUCAGCAAUAGAGGACGGCACUCCAUCAAGACUCGUUUUAUCACUUUUGACCUCGGAUCAGGUAGGGAUACCCGCUGAACUUAAGCAUAUCAAUAAGCGGAGGAAAAGAAACCAACAGGGAUUGCCUUAGUAACGGCGAGUGAAGCGGCAACAGCUCAAAUUUGAAAUCUGGCUCUUUUAGGGUCCGAGUUGUAAUUUGCAGAGGGCGCUUUGGUUUUGGCAGCGGUCCAAGUUCCUUGGAACAGGACGUCACAGAGGGUGAGAAUCCCGUACGUGGUCGCUAGCUAUUGCCGUGUAAAGCCCCUUCGACGAGUCGAGUUGUUUGGGAAUGCAGCUCUAAAUGGGAGGUAAAUUUCUUCUAAAGCUAAAUAUUGGCCAGAGACCGAUAGCGCACAAGUAGAGUGAUCGAAAGAUGAAAAGCACUUUGGAAAGAGAGUCAAACAGCACGUGAAAUUGUUGAAAGGGAAGCGCUUGCAGCCAGACUUGCUUGCAGUUGCUCAUCCGGGCUUUUGCCCGGUGCACUCUUCUGCAGGCAGGCCAGCAUCAGUUUGGGCGGUGGGAUAAAGGUCUCUGACACGUUCCUUCCUUCGGGUUGGCCAUAUAGGGGAGACGUCAUACCACCAGCCUGG